ensembl:lncRNA
GGAAAACGUCAUAACUUUUAUUCUCACACAGCAUUUAGGUCAUAUUAACAAUAGCAGAUCUUCUGGAGAGCAUGCUUUUAUAAACACCCCAUAUGGAGCAAAAACAGACACUUUCAUUCAACAAAAGCUAUUAAAUAUCAUUUACAGGGGAGUGAAAUCUUCCACCGAAGACAUUGAUCAAAACACAAGUUGAAAACUUGUCUUCCUUGAUAUGAUAUAGACAGUGAAUUCAAACUUAUGAGCUCCUCCAUGGUCCCAAAUUAACUUAUGAAACUUUAUAUAUAUAUAUAUAUAUAUAUACACACACACAAAUGUGCUACACAGACCAGCAAUGUUAGAAACUAUUGUCAGGAUGUAAGAAAUCGACCAACAAAAUUAAUCAAGUACCCUACAAAAAUGCAGCUCACUGUGAACUUGUAACUAGUGUAGCACUGACUGUAUUGCACUAUUUUAAAGUCUACUGUUUAAGAUGACUAUAAGGUGUGUUACAACAUCCUGGUGUCCUCUCUUUUCACGUGAUCUAAUGUCUUGUCGUGGCAUUUGCUCUUUUUGUUCUGGUGAGUUUUGACGUGUUUUGCCAAGUGGUCACUCCUCAUGAACCUUUUGCAGCAGUCCGGGCAAACAAAGCGCUUCUCCCCUGUGUGAGUCCUCAGGUGUCUCUGCAGCUCAUCCGACCUGGUGAAACUCUUGCCACAGAACAGCCAGUUGCACACAAACGGCCGCUCCCCCGAGUGCCACCUCAGGUGCGCUUUGAGGUGAGAAGUUUUCCCAUAAACUUUCCCGCAACCCGGUAUGUGGCAAAUGUGCUGCUUCUUCUUCCCGGGCUCGUCGCUGGACGUGGAGGACUGGCAGUUCGGACACCUGCACCUCCUGCACCGCCGCGCAGUCGCGAGGGGGGACUUUGUGUGCAGCAGAGCGGCGAUUUGCGUCUGGUAUUGCGCAAAGUCCGUGUGUCCCAGAACCAAGCCUCUCUGCAGCUGGAAGCGGUGAGGACCGAGUGAGGAAGAGUGGCUUACGUGGUUCCCCUGCUGGAGGCUCCACCACGGAAUAUCCUCUCCAGGGUUUGGGGACAACUGUCUCUGCUGCUGGUGCACAAGGCCGGAGGGUCCCGUGACAAAACUUGGCAUCGCGGGCGGAAUGGGCGCUGGAGCCGCGUAGCUGACGGCGGGGACGUAGGUUGGAGGGCAGGUGGACUGCAUGGAGCAAGGCAGCAUCUUCACGGGGGAGAAGUCAUAGGGGCCUAUGAAGCCGGGGAUCUCUGCAUAUUCAAGAGCAAACAGCAAAGCCUUGGCAAUGUGCAGGGUUGGCUUGGGGGUCAAGUAAGGCGGGACAGGUCGUUUUACCUUCUCUCAGCCCACCCUGAAUGUGCUAAUCCAGUCCAGCCUUAAAGAGGAAAACUCUCUCCCCUCUAUGAUGAUGAUGAUGUACAG